rnacentral:rRNA from 1 species
UACGUAGGGGGCUAGCGUUGUCCGGAUUUAUUGGGCGUAAAGAGCUCGUAGGCGGCUUGUCGCGUCGUCUGUGAAAUCCCGCGGCUCAACCGCGGGUCUGCAGUCGAUACGGGCAGGCUAGAGUUCGGUAGGGGAGACUGGAAUUCCUGGUGUAGCGGUGAAAUGCGCAGAUAUCAGGAGGAACACCGGUGGCGAAAGGCGGGCUCUGGGCGUCGAAACUGACGCUGAGGUGACGAAAGCUGGGGAGCAAACGGG